rnacentral:rRNA from 1 species
UACGAAGGGGGCUAGCGUUGCUCGGAAUUACUGGGCGUAAAGCGCACGUAGGCGGAUUGUUAAGUCAGGGGUGAAAUCCUGGAGCUCAACUCCAGAACUGCCUUUGAUACUGACGAUCUCGAGUCCGGGAGAGGUGAGUGGAACUGCGAGUGUAGAGGUGAAAUUCGUAGAUAUUCGCAAGAACACCAGUGGCGAAGGCGGCUCACUGGCCCGGUACUGACGCUGAGGUGCGAAAGCGUGGGGAGCAAACAGG